GGCAGUUCUUGGGUGACACACCCUGGAAUCGGGCUCCCUCCUCUCUGGUUCUAGUGUGUCACCCAAGAACCGCU
rfam:Myotis brandtii contig266646, whole genome shotgun sequence.